rnacentral:rRNA from 1 species
UACGUAGGGGGCAAGCGUUGUCCGGAAUCAUUGGGCGUAAAGCGCGUGUAGGCGGCCAGAAAAGUCCGCUGUGAAAACUCGAGGCUCAACUUCGAGCUGUCGGUGGAAACUGUCGGGCUAGAGUCCGGAAGAGGCGAGUGGAAUUCCCGGUGUAGCGGUGAAAUGCGCAGAUAUCGGGAGGAACACCAAUGGCGAAGGCAGCUCGCUGGGACGGUACUGACGCUGAGACGCGAAAGCGUGGGGAGCAAACAGG